GAUGACUCUCGGCAACGGAUAUCUAGGCUCUCGCAUCGAUGAAGAACGUAGCGAAAUGCGAUACUUGGUGUGAAUUGCAGAAUCCCGUGAACCAUCGAGUCUUUGAACGCAAGUUGCGCCCGAGGCCCAUCGGGUCGAGGGCACGCCUGCCUGGGCGUCACGC
rnacentral:rRNA from 1 species